GCUGGAAAACAGAAAAGAGGAUGAUCCCAGCUGAGACGCUCCAAGAAGAAAAUCUCAACAGCACCGAGAGACGAGGGAUUGCGCCAGCAUGAGAAUUCAAGGAGGCGAAUUUGUGCGAUGGUGUGGCUGAGGAAAGUCCAGAUUGAAAUGGCCACCGCAUUCUGUCUACACUGGAAAGUGCUCUCCAACAGAAAUAGUGAGUCAGAGCUGGUCCCAUGUUUGUCAACUUAGGGGCCGGCUCCGCUGUGUUUUGAACAACAUAUCAAUCCACUAGAUGUAGGCAGAAAGGAAGGCAUCUUCUGGUUGUCAGAGUAAAAAUCCUUUACUCUUCAGUCCAGCAACCCGAAGGAAAACAAGGGAAUGUGUGGCUUGGUUUCCUUGACAACCUUAUCUUCACUUCAGGCACCAUCCCUGUCUCUAAGCAACAGGGCACUCUUCGGAAUUACCAGGAGGUAAAAACCAGCGCUUGCCCCUGUCCACACUCCAGGACAAAGCAGAUUGGGGAAGAGUGACUGACCAGCCACCUCACAAGGCAGAGCCCAAGGCUGCUAGGAAAGGCUGGGAUCCCAGGCUGCAGGAAAAGGAGGAAGUGGAGAGAGAACUGAUACACAGUGUUCUCUGCUUCCUGGACACAGAUGCUAUGUGACCAUCUCAACUUCCUGCUGACAUCCACCAUGAUGGACUGCAUCUGCAAACUCCUUACCCAGGGAGGACCAUCAGCAGAGGAGCCCUGGGGAUGAAUCUGACAGAAAAGGACACCCCUGACACAGACUCCCCCACACCUUGGAGGCAGGCUUUUGCCUCGAUUCUGUUGACUUCCUAUGAUGAUCCAUCCUGUGCUGACUGGUUUUGUGUCAAUGAGACACAAGCUGAAGUUACCACAGAGAAAGGAGCCUCCCUGGAGGAAAGGCCUCCCUGAGACCCAGCUGUAAGGCAUUUUCUCAAUUAGUGACCAAGGGUGGGCGGGCCCAGCCCAUUGUGGGUGGUGCCGUCCCUGGGCUGGUGGUCCUGGGUUCUAUAAGAGAGCAAGCUGAGCAAGCCAGGGGAAGGAAGCCAGUAAGUAACAUCCCUCCAUGGCCUCUGCAUCAGCUCCUGCUUCCUGACCCGCGUGAGUUCCAGUCCUGACUUCCUUUAGUGAUGAACAGAAAUGUGGAAGUGUGAGCUGAAUAAACCCUUUCCUCCCCAACUUGCUUCUUGGUCAUGGCGUUUGUGCAGGAAUACAAACCCAGACAGAGACACAUCCACUCUGUACAAUGUUGAUUUAUUUCUUUUAAGACUGACUCUUUCAUUAUGUAGCUCUAGAUGUCCUGGAACCAGCUAUGUAGUCCGGACUGGCACUGAACUCCCAGAGAUCCACCUGCCUCUGCCUCCUGUGAGCUGGGAUUAAGGGCUUGUGCCACCGCUGCCAUUUUCUGCACAGCAUUGAAAUGAAUGUGUGAGUAAGCUUUGUCUCUUCUGAGAGACUGAAAGCUUGUUCGUUGCAAGAACAAACCCUAUUUCAUUCCCUUUAUCCUCUUUUAACCAGUGGGGACAGAGUCCUUCACCACGGCGGCUGCUAGCUACAGUUCCCUGUUGAGUAUUGGAGACGCUGAGAAAAUGGACCAUCUUAUUUAAGUUUAAUAAGGAUGUAAUGUAAAGGCUUAUGGUGUAGGGGUGUGUGUGUGUGAGAGAGAGACAGAGGUGUAUAUACCCCAGUGCAUGUGUGGAGGUCAGGGAACAACCUUCAGGUGUUGGUUUUCUCCUUCCAUUUUGUUUUAGGGAGGGUCACCAUGAUAAGUCAAGCUUCCCAGCCCACAAGCUGCCAGGCAGUUCCUUCUCUUGUCUCCGCCUCCUUUCUCUCGCUGCAGGACUGCUGGGAUUAUAGGUAUUUGUUAUAACAACAUUUGGGUUUUUACAUCGCUGUUAGGGAUCUGAACUCGUGUCUGUGUGGCAGCUGACUUUUACAUAGAGUUAUCUCCUGGACCCACAACCCUGUUUCAGGAUGACUAAAUUUCACUUUAACCACUAAAAUUCUGCAUCUAUGCUGAAAUGUGGCAUGGACAUAAAACAAAUACUUCAGAACUUAUAUGGUCUUCCAUGUUUUAAAAUAUGGAGUCCACGUCGAAAUGGUAAUAGUGUGGCCGCAUUAGAUGAAGUGUAUUUUGUAAAUUAAUUCUGUUUGCUUUCUGCUUCUUUCGUUUUUAAAAUUUAUACCCAGGGAAUAUUUCAUAAUAAAUGAUAUAUGUGCAUAUAUAUAACAUGCAUGUUCACAUCUUUCCUAUAUAUGGCUAUUAGAGAGCUUAACAAUUCACAUUGUUUCCUGUAUUUCUUUGUUUUAAAGAUUUAUUCACUUUAUUGCACUGCAUGAAUGCUUUGCUCAUAUAUGCAUAUGCAGCAUAUGCGUAUCGGGAACUCUUAGAGGUCUGAAGGGGUGUCAGGUCCCAUUGGGCUAGAGUUAUGAAUGGUUGUGAGCUGCUGUGUGUGUGCUAGGGCAGGGGCGGGGAAGAGGGGGUUGAACCCAGGUCCUCUGCAAGAACAAGUGCUCUUAGUCAUUGAGCCACCUCUCCAGCCUCCUGCGCUGUAUCCCUGAGAUACAGGCGUGUGCUGGCUUCACUGUGCAGGUCUUCAGAGAGCACUACAAAGAUCACUCCCUCCCUCUCCUCUAUUACCAGAAUGAGCUCCUUCAGGCCACGAAUCUGGAUUAGAAGUAUGAUCGGUGGUUAGGAAACUAAAUGGCAAUGUGGGAAUAAAAUUUUGGCAGCUAAUGAAAAAAAAAUCCUUUGAAACUGAUUUAAGUGUGAUGUGAUGAUUGCUUGCAAAAUGGGAGAUUAAUAAUUCAGAUCCUAAGAACAUAUGUCACUGUUAUCAAGGAAAUGUAGGCCUCAGCCUCCCUGGCAGCCAAUGACUAGAAGAUAUUCACAAGAAAUGAAUUGUUUUCACAGGAGAGGCAAAGCAUUUCCAGAAAAUAUACUGUCCAAUAAAUGUAGUAGCAGUGGGUGAUAAGCUGGGCGGUGUCCCUAGCAAGACCUGAGAGUAAAUGUCACAGUGUUUUCCAUCAGAGAGGAUCCCGUCCUCAAAAUCAGAGUUAAAGGGCUACUUUUUCAGAUGGGCAUAAGAUGGCAUGGUCCAUUAUGCUGUCUUGGCCAGGACAGUGGGCACAUGUCUAUUUGAAAGUAGGAGAGUUGCUGGGGAUUUAGCUCAGUGGUAGAGUGCUUACCUAGGAAGCGCAAGGUCCUGGGUUCGGUCCCCAGCUCCGGAAAAAAAAAAAAAAAAAAAAGAACAAGAAAGUAGGAGAGUUGCUGGAGAGAUGGCUCGGAGGUUAAGAUCACUGGCUGCUCUUCCAGAGGUUCUGAGUUCAAUUCCCAGCAACCACAUGGUGGCUCACAACCAUCUGUAAUGAGAUCUGAUGCCCUCUUCUGGUGUGUCUGAGGACAGCGACAGUGUAUUCAUAUAAAUAACAAAUAAAUGUUUGUUAUUUAUAGGGCCAAUAAAUAAAUCUUCAAGAAAAAAGAAAGUAGGAGAGGAAGAAGAUCAGGAGGAGAAGUAGGAAGAGGAAGAGGAAUGGCAGGAGAAGGAACAGGAAAAGCAGGAGAAGGAGGAGGAGGAGCAGCAGCAGGAGGAGGAGGAGGAGCAGGGAAAGCAGGAGAAGCAGGGGGAGGAAGAAGAGAGGGAGGGGCAGAAGACAGCAGAAAGAGGAGGAGCAGGGAGAAGAGGCUUGGGAGGAAGAGCAGGAGGAGCAGCAGGAGGACGACCAGGAGGAGAAGCAGAGGAGGACCAGGAAGAAAAGCAUGAGUUUUCCCAGUCUUGGAGCUGCCUUAGCCCAGCACUGGACAUAAUGAUUCAGCAUGUACAAAUUUUCUUGGACAAGCCAUCUGAACCCGUGUCUGUCCUCCAUUCAAGAAUGGAAAACAGAAUUGGGGGUUCAGCACAACUGGUAGAGUGCUUGCCAUACCAGCAGAAGACCCCAGGACCGAUCUCCAGCAUCACACUAAGUGUGGUGGCACACACCUGCAACUCCAGCACUCAAGAACAGAGGCAGGGGGAUCCAGGGCUCAAGGUUGAGCUUGGCUACAGGAUGAGUUUCAUGCGUCUAUGUGUGUAUGUGCUCCUGUGUGUAUAUACGCACACAUUGGUACAAGUACACAUGUACACGUACGUGUGUGUGUGUGUGUGUGUGUGUGUGUGUGUGUAGAAACCUCAAGUUCACGUUGGGACGUGCGAAAUUAGCACUCUCUGUCCUAUUUUUUGAGACAGGGUCACUUACUGAACCUGAAGCACCUGGAUUCCGCUCGGCUGGCCACCAAAUUCCAGGGAUCCUCUGCUUAAGCUGGGCAUUGUGGCUCAGGCCUAUAACAGUAGUACUGUAGACACUGAGGCAGGAGGAUUGCCAUAGUUUCAGGCCAGCCUGGGUUACAGAGUGAGUGCCAGGCUAUCUCAGGCUAUAGAGUGAGACCUUGUCUCAAUAAAAAUUCAAUAAACAAAUAAAUAUCAAUUUAAGCUGUAUUCUGGUCAUGGUAGCAAGACAGAGUGAAGUUAGCCAGAAGCUUGGCACGUUGAUACAGAAAUUGCCUUCCAACUAUCUUGCUUUGACUUUUCUCUUCACCUUACAUGAGACAUAGGAGAAUGACAUAGCAGAGUCAACAUGGAAACUAGUCUUCAUUUUAACCCAACAAGUGCAGCCUUAGACUGUGGCUUUGGCCAGUGUGGUGGUUUGAAUAUACUUGGCCCAUGGGAAGUGGCAUUAUUAGGAGGUGUGGCCUUGUUGGAGGAAGUGUGUCACUGUGUGGGUGGGCUUUAAGGGCUCCUACUGCAAAGCUCCUCCCACUGAAGAAGAGAGUCUCCUCCUGCCUGCCUUCAGAUCAAGAAGUAGAAGUCCCUGCUCCUCCUGCACCAUGCCUGCCUGGAUGCUGCCAUGCUUCCUGCCUUGAUGAUAAUGGACUUGACCCUCUGAACCUCCAAGCCAGCCCCAAUUGACUGUGGUCCUUUAUAAGAGUUGCCUUGGUCAUGGUGUCCAUUCACAGCAAUGAAACUCUAACUAAGUCAGCCAGGAAGCAGGGCUGAGGUCCUGUGUGUCCACAGCCCUUGGCAGAGGUGGUGGGUAUCCCAGCUUGCCUUGCUCAUGGGAUCACACGGGGACCUGGAGCUGUAAUUUCCCACUCUCGGAGUUCACGCCAGGGCGUGUGCUCACAUCCGACAGCGCAAUUUGAAAGUGUGCUCUCAGCUCCCGCCGCUGCAUACACCCAGGAACGCGAUGUGUUGAGCGAAAUGUCAUCCCAUACAGGAGCCCAUGCUAAUUAUAAUGUCACUUUCCCCACCGAGGUGCGGAUAAUUAAAGGAGAAUAUUACAGUGUUUUCAAACUCCUGGAGUAAAUGAGGGAAAUCUUGAAGUAACCUGCUGGAGAUGAGAAUUUAAAGUGCUGUGAACCGUCCCCCUUGAAGGUCACCUGACUAGAGGUGGAAGAUUCUUAAGGAUUGAACUCUCCUCCCCAGAGGAGGAGAAGAGGAGGGGAAGAGGGGGGAGACAGAGGGAGGAGGAGGGGAGAGCAAAGAACUCAAGUGCAGCAGGCUCUGCUGUGCUCUACCUCAAGUCAGGUUACUCAGCAGGUGACUGGCCUGUUGCAGUAGCUGUUAACUCACUUCAUAGAGAACUGCAAGGUGAGGUGUUAUUGCCAAUUUACAUCUACCAACACUGAGAUGCUCAGGCCUUUACCCAAAGCCACAUGGCCGAUAAGGCAGCUGGUGGCUUUGGGAGCUAAGUCCGGGCCUUGCUGAUUCUAAGGCCUACUACGCCUGUCUAACGUUGAUGGGUCCACGACCACCCUCACCUGCUGGUGAUGGGUGUGUGGAGGGCACGCUUCUGGGGCACUCCUUCUGCGACCUUCUGCGGAGCUCCCUUAGGGACAGCCCGGGUUAUGGACGAGGUCUCCCACCCAGGUUGCCUAGCCUAUAAGCCUGCUGCUGCUAAGCAGAGAGCCCAGGACAUCUUGAGCGAGAAGUCUGCCAACAUACCCGGCUGGUGUCACAGACGCUGACAUUUCAUGUCGUUAAAAAAUAAAAGUAAAAAAGCAAAA